AUUGAACGCUGGCGGCAGGCCUAACACAUGCAAGUCGAGCGAGCGGCGGACGGGUGAGUAAUGUAUGGGGACUGACCGCUAGAGGGGGAUAACUACUGGAAACGGUGGCUAAUACCGCAUACUAUCGGAUCACCCAUAUGGUAUUAGCUAGUAGGUGGGGUAAAGGCUCACAUAGGCGACGAUCUCUAGCUGGUCUGAGAGGAGGAUCAGCCCAACGUGGACGGAGACACGGCCCAGAGUCCUACGGAGGCAGCAGGGGGGAAGAUUGCACAAUGGGCGCAAGCCGGAUGCAGCCAUGCCGCGUGUAUGAAGAAGGCCUUAGGGUUGUAAAGUACUUUCAGCGGGGAGGCGUUACCCGCAGAAGAAGCACCGGCUAACUCCGUGCCAGCAGCCGCGGUAAUUC
rnacentral:rRNA from 1 species